UAUCACCAGCAAGUCAAAGCCAACGACGAAGUUUGUUCUGUACAGACUGUAAAAAGGGAUUCUGCUUUUCACAUCACUUUAUUGUGAAGAACCAUUCCAUCCAUUGGGGUGCUUUCACAAGAGUUGCCAAAGAAAAAGCAAGAAGACACCUUGUGGCACCUUACAGAUGAAACGUUCAUGGGCUGGAGUCCACAUGCACAGGUGUGGAAAAUGCAAUCCAUGUGGAAAAACUGGUUUCAACAAGCCCAUCUGCUAGCUAGGGAAAAGAUAAGAUGGUACCACUCUUCCAUUCCACAUACAGAAACCAAUCAGACUGGCUGCUGAAUCUGACAUCAAUAUGGAGAAUGGAUCAGAAACCCUCCUUCCCCUGA